AGUAGGGAAUUGUUCGCAAUGGGCGCAAGCCUGACGACGCAACGCCGCGUGGAGGAUGAAGGGCUUCGGCUCGUAAACUCCUUUCGACCGAGAUGAAUACCCGCAGGCCUAAUACGCUUGCGGACUGACAGUAUCGAGGGAAGAAGCCCCGGCUAACUCCGUGCCAGCAGCCGCGGUAAUACGGGGGGGGCAAGCGUUGUUCGGAAUUACUGGGCGUAAAGGGUUCGUAGGUGGCCAACUAAGUCAUACGUGAAAUCCCUCAGCUUAACUGGGGAACUGCGUCUGAUACUGGUUGGCUUGAGUGCAGGAGAGGAACGCGGAAUUCCAGGUGUAGCGGUGAAAUGCGUAGAUAUCUGGAGGAACACCGGUGGCGAAGGCGGCGUUCUGGACUGUAACUGACACUGAGGAACGAAAGCCAGGGGAGCAAA
rnacentral:rRNA from 1 species